UGGGGAAUAUUGCACAAUGGGCGCAAGCCUGAUGCAGCAACGCCGCGUGAACGAUGAAGGUCUUCGGAUCGUAAAGUUCUGUUGCAGGGGAAGAUAAUGACGGUACCCUGUGAGGAAGCCCCGGCUAACUACGUGCCAGCAGCCGCGGUAAUACGUAGGGGGCUAGCGUUAUCCGGAUUUACUGGGCGUAAAGGGUGCGUAGGUGGUCUUUCAAGUCGGUGGUUAAAGGCUACGGCUCAACCGUAGUUAGCCUCCGAAACUGGAAGACUUGAGUGCAGGAGAGGAAAGUGGAAUUCCCAGUGUAGCGGUGAAAUGCGUAGAUAUUAGGAGGAAUACCGGUGGCGAAGGCGACUUUCUGGACUUUUACUGACGCUCAGGUACGAAAGCGUGGGGAGCAAACAGG
rnacentral:rRNA from 1 species